GAGAAAAAGAAAAGUAAAGCCAUGCAAUUUCAGCUUUGGCCGCUUAAAAAAAUAAACUGAAGCAUAAAACAAACUUCAAAUUACAAGUAUAGAUUUCUGAUCAAAUUGAAAACCACAAACAAAAUUAACUUUCACUCCACUGAGCCUAUCGCUAACUCCAAGGCAAGAAAACUUUGCUUACCAUGGGAGAAGGCAAAUCCUUCAUCCCCCUCACCACGCGAAGGAAAAAAAAAAUUAAUCGAUUUUCCCAAAAAGCACAGUGAAAAAAAUACAAUAAAAGAAAAGAAAACCUUGAGAGAGGAGGCGAUUAACGG
rnacentral:misc_RNA from 1 species